rnacentral:rRNA from 1 species
UGCCAGCCGCCGCGGUAAUACGGAGGGUGCAAGCGUUAUCCGGAAUCACUGGGUUUAAAGGGUGCGUAGGCGGCGUUGUAAGUCAGAGGUGAAAGCUCACAGCUUAACUGUGGAAUUGCCUUUGAUACUGCAGUGCUUGAAUCAGGUUGAGGUUGGCGGAAUGUGUCAUGUAGCGGUGAAAUGCAUAGAUAUGACAUAGAACACCAAUUGCGAAGGCAGCUGACUAGACCUGUAUUGACGCUGAGGCACGAAAGCGUGGGGAGCGAACAGGAUUAGAUA